AGGCUGUGAUGAGAAAAUUCGUUUCUCGAUUCUGAUUUAUUCAAGACCAUACGCUAGUUUUGCGUUUAUUGCGUCGUGAUGACGGCAUUUGUGCGUGUCUGAGCCUU